rnacentral:rRNA from 1 species
UACGGAGGGGGCUAGCGUUGUUCGGAAAUACUGGGCGUAAAGCGCACGUAGGCGGCCAAGUAAGUCAGGGGUGAAAUCCCGGAGCUCAACUCCGGAACUGCCCUUGAAACUGCAUGGCUAGAAUACUGGAGAGGCAAGUGGAAUUCCGAGUGUAGAGGUGAAAUUCGUAGAUAUUCGGAAGAACACCAGUGGCGAAGGCGACUUGCUGGACAGUUAUUGACGCUGAGGUGCGAAAGCGUGGGGAGCAAACAGG